rnacentral:rRNA from 2 species
AGCAGCCGCGGUAAUUCCAGCUCCAAUAGCGUAUAUUAAAGUUGUUGCAGUUAAAAAGCUCGUAGUUGAAUUUCGGGAUCAAUCUAUCGGUCGUGCAAUAGUACGUACUGAUUUUAUUGAUUCCUCCCUUCUGAUGAACUAUGAUGUCAUUAAUUUGGUGUCAUAGGGAAUCAGGACUGUUACUUUGAAAAAAUUAGAGUGUUUAAAGCAGGCUCACGCUUGAAUACAUUAGCAUGGAAUAACGAAAUAGGACGUUUGAUUCUAUUUUGUUGGUUUCUAGGAUCGACGUAAUGAUUAAUAGGGAUAGUUGGGGGCAUUAGUAUUCAAUUGUCAGAGGUGAAAUUCUUGGAUUUAUUGAAGACUAACUACUGCGAAAGCAUUUGCCAAGGAUGUUUUCAUUAAUCAAGAACGAAAGUUAGGGGAUCGAAGACGAUCAGAUACCGUCGUAGUCUUAACCAUAAACUAUGCCGACUAGGGAUCGGAUGAUGUUAAUUUUUAAUGACUCAUUC